UCCCUGGUGGUCCAGCACUUAGGACUCAGCACUUUCACUGCAGAGGCCCAGGUUCGAUCCCUGGUCAGGGAA